GACGAACGCUGGCGGCGUGCUUAACACAUGCAAGUCGAACGGAAAGGCCCUGCUUUUGUGGGGUGCUCGAGUGGCGAACGGGUGAGUAACACGUGAGUAACCUGCCCUUGACUUUGGGAUAACUUCAGGAAACUGGGGCUAAUACCGGAUAGGAGCUCCUGCUGCAUGGUGGGGGUUGGAAAGUUUCGGCGGUUGGGGGUGGACUCGCGGCUUAUCAGCUUGUUGGUGGGGUAGUGGCUUACCAAGGCUUUGACGGGAAGCCGGCCUGAGAGGGUGACCGGCCACAUUGGGACUGAGAUACGGCCCAGACUCCUCCGGGAGGCAGCAGUGGGGAAUAUUGCACAAUGGGCGGAAGCCUGAUGCAGCAACGCCGCGUGCGGGAUGACGGCCUUCGGGUUGUAAACCGCUUUCGCCUGUGACGAAGCGUGAGUGACGGUAAUGGGUAAAGAAGCACCGGCUAACUACGUG
rnacentral:rRNA from 1 species